GAUCCUGGCUCAGAACGAACGCUGGCGGCGCGCUUAAGCAUGCAAGUCGAACGGCAAGAGGUAGCAAUACCUCCUAGAGUGGCGGACUGGUGAGUAACACGUGGGUGACAUACCCUUCAGAUGGGGAUAGCUAUUAGAAAUAGUAGAUAAUACCGAAUACGAGCACAGGGGUUAGAGAUCUGUGAGGAAAGGAGCUAAGGCUCCGCUGAAGGAAUGGCCUGCGGCCCAUUAGCUAGUUGGUGAGGUAAGAGCCCACCAAGGCGAUGAUGGGUAUCCGGCCUUAGAGGGUGAACGGACACAUUGGGACUGAGAUACGGCCCAGACUCCUACGGGAGGCAGCAGCUAAGAAUAUUCCGCAAUGGACGAAAGUCUGACGGAGCGACGCCGCGUGGAUGAAGAAGGCCGGAAGGUUGUAAAAUCCUUUUGAAACUGAAGAAUAAGCGUUGUAGGGAAUGACAGCGUGGUGACAGUAGGUUUUGAAUAAGCAACGGCUAAUUACGUGCCAGCCGCUGC
rnacentral:rRNA from 1 species